UACGUAGGGUCCGAGCGUUGUCCGGAAUUACUGGGCGUAAAGAGCUCGUAGGCGGUUCGUCGCGUCGGCUGUGAAAACCCGGAGCUCAACUCCGGGCCUGCAGUCGAUACGGGCGGACUUGAGUGUUGCAGGGGAGACUGGAAUUUCCGGUGUAGCGGUGAAAUGCGUAGAUAUCGGGAGGAACACCAGUGGCGAAGGCGAGUCUCUGGGAUGAUGCUGACGCUGAGGCGCGAAAGCCAGGGGAGCAAACGGG
rnacentral:rRNA from 1 species